rnacentral:snoRNA from 1 species
CCUGCAGUGAUGAGCUGCUAACAUGUAAGAAGAGCCAUUCAUGUGGUUUCUUCAAUGAAAUACUCUUGUUACGCUUGGCUUCUGAGCUUU